GCUGGAACGCGCCCCAGGCGCACCCAGAAACCCUUUGUGAACUUAUACCUUUUGUUGCCUCGGCGCUGCUGGUCUCUAGUAGGCCCCUCACUUCGGUGAGGAAAAGGCACGCCGGCGGCCAAAUCAACUCUGUUUUUACACUGAAACUCUGAGAAAAAACACAAAUGAAUCAAAACUUUCAACAACGGAUCUCUUGGUUCUGGCAUCGAUGAAGAACGCAGCGAAAUGCGAUAAGUAAUGUGAAUUGCAGAAUUCAGUGAAUCAUCGAAUCUUUGAACGCACAUUGCGCCCUCUGGUAUUCCGGAGGGCAUGCCUGUUCGAGCGUCAUUUCAACCCUCAAGCAUUGCUUGGUGUUGGGGCACUGCUUCUAACGAAGCAGGCCCUGAAAUCUAGUGGCGAGCUCGCCAGGACCCCGAGCGCAGUAGUUAAACCCUCGCUCUGGAAGGCCCUGGCGGUGCCCUGCCGUUAAACCCCCAACUUCUGAAAAUUUGACCUCGGAUCAGGUAGGAAUACC
rnacentral:rRNA from 1 species